GUUUGUUACCCUUCAACUCCCCUAUAGGGUGCAAAUCUAUUCUCUGCCCCAAUGGACUGUAUUGUUCUUCCCUCUUUGGGUCAAUUUCAAAGCAUGUAAGAGUUGAGUAUUGUGGAAGAGGCAUGAAGAGAGAAACGUUUUGAAGGACAAGACAAGAUGUAAGAGACUAAGCUGGGGACAUGUUUUGUCAGUCAAGAUGAAGAUUCUAAAACGGAAUGUCCCCAUGUAAAAAUGGAGAUUUGAACACUGGACUCCAAUCCCCAGAAGUCCUUGGCCACUUCCCAAAAUGCUUUGUAAUCUCACUGAGAUCCUCACCUGGGCAAGAUCAAAAACUUCUAUUUAAACUGAUUGUAAAACCUACCGGCUCUCUUUUUACUUCCUCUUCCAAGGAGAUGAGGCUCUCCACCUAGCAGGCAAGAUGGUCAAGGUAUCAAGACAAAAAGAUAGACAAUGCUCUCUGCUCAGUGGCUUCAACAUAUGUAUGGCAGAUGUUCAGGAAUAUGGAUGUACCUGCAUCAGGGAGGAGAUACAUAAAGCAUAUAACAUACAGUAGCUCUUUUGGCAAAGAACCUAAUUCAGCAUGUCGCACGUCUCAUUGGUCAUUGCUCCCUCUGAAAGUCCCACUUGGAUACCAACUUUGGAAAUUUCAUUUUUCAUCUCACCAAAGUCCAAUUCUUUGGAUACAUGAACUCCCUUAAGGGAUAUCCACAUAGACAACUGCAAGGUGGCAUAGCCAUUUGGAGAGCUACAAGAGAAUAUAGAGGACGAGCAGGGUCAACAACCUCCCAUUCUUCUUCAGAAGGUUUCACUGACUUACUCUCUCCUAGUUCUGUUCCUACUUAUCUGACCUCUCCUCAAUCUCCAUUGGUGGAAUUUUAUCCAGGUCACUCCCACAAAAAGUAAGUAUUCUCCAGGUCACUGUCCUGUGCCCUCUUCUUUUAUCCCUUUACUUCCUGUGUUCAAAUCCAGCCUCAGACAUGCAUCUGCUAAGUGACCCUGGUCAAGUCACAUAAUCCCAAAUUCUAGUACUUUUGACUCUGCAGCC
rnacentral:lncRNA from 1 species